rnacentral:lncRNA from 1 species
UUGGCUAGAAAUGGUGAAAAAAGAAAAAUGAUAAAUAAAAAAAUUACACUUACCUGGGUUCGUUAAGGUCUGUUGUGGUUCUGCCGCAGUCGAGGUAGAACUGCGGUAGACUGUGGUCAGAGAGGGUAUUCCACCGCGAUUUAACCGCGUUCACGGUCAAACCAUGUUGGACUGUUGUCAGAGAGGUAUUCUGACUGUGAUUUCACCGCGGUCAUGGUAGGACUG